AACGAACGCUGGCGGCAUGCCUAACACAUGCAAGUCGAACGCCUGUAGCAAUACAGGAGUGGCGCACGGGUGAGUAACGCGUGGGAACCUGCCCUGGAGUGGGGGAUAACCGAGAGAAAUUUCGGCUAAUACCGCAUACGACCUGAGGGUGAAAGAUUUAUCGCUCUAGGAGGGGCCCGCGUCGGAUUAGCUAGUUGGUGAGGUAACGGCUCACCAAGGCUACGAUCCGUAGCUGGUCUGAGAGGAUGAUCAGCCACACUGGGACUGAGACACGGCCCAGACUCCUACGGGAGGCAGCAGUGGGGAAUAUUGGACAAUGGGGGCAACCCUGAUCCAGCAAUGCCGCGUGAGUGAUGAAGGCCUUAGGGUUGUAAAGCUCUUUCGGCGGGGGACGAUGAUGACGGUA
rnacentral:rRNA from 1 species